AUGCUGAAAGUAUAAUACAGUACAACUGCCUUCCAAGCAGGAAGUCCAAACCUAGGUCAGCAUA
rnacentral:tRNA from 1 species